AUCCAGCUGAUGAGCUCCCAAAAAGGUGAAACGCGUGUCCUGGAU
rfam:Schistosoma mansoni, Puerto Rico, WGS project CABG01000000 data, contig: 0115